GCCUCCACGCCGCUCAAGUUUGUCAGCCUGAAGGACAGUUCCCUGGCCAGGGCGGCCCUCGAGGGCGGAGAGGAGACACAGGCCGCAAGCCAGCGGGAGCGGGAAUGGAUGGAGAAGGAGUUUAUGAAGGCCUACAUUGAGGAUCUCAUGGAGAGAGAUUCGGUCCCCAGCUACACCACCAAAGUGUCUCUGAGCCUGCACCUCUGACAUCCCCCUGCCUCAGAACUUCAAUAAAGCCAUCGCAGAUCUAGGAAACGGAGCCCACACGCCAUCAAGGCACCGCAGAUAAUAAGAAGAACAGUUCAUUCAUUCGGUCAUACUUAUUGAGCGCUUCCUGUGU